rnacentral:rRNA from 1 species
GCCUCUAGUACAGGUGCUGCAUGGCUGUCGUCAGCUCGUGCCGUGAGGUGUUGGGUUAAGUCCCGCAACGAGCGCAACCCUACUGCCAGUUACCAACACGUUAAGGUGGGGGACUCUGGCGGAACUGCCGGUGGACAAACCGGAGGAAGGUGGGGAUGACGUCAAGUCCUCAUGGCCCUUAUGUCCAGGGCUACACACGUGCUACAAUGGUCGCUACAGAGUGACGCGAAGCCGCGAGGUGGAGCAAAUCGCAGAAAAGCGACCUUAGUUCGGAUUGGAGUCUGAAACCCGACUCCAUGAAGGUGGAAUCGCUAGUAAUCGCGCAUCAGCAUGGCGCGGUGAAUACGUUCCCGGGCCUU